rnacentral:rRNA from 1 species
UACGUAGGGUGCGAGCGUUAAUCGGAAUUACUGGGCGUAAAGCGUGCGCAGGCGGUUUUGUAAGCCAGUUGUGAAAUCCCCGGGCUUAACCUGGGAAUGGCAUUUGGGACUGCAAGGCUGGAGUGUGGCAGAGGAGACUGGAAUUCCUGGUGUAGCAGUGAAAUGCGUAGAUAUCAGGAGGAAUACCGAUGGCGAAGGCAGGUCUCUGGGCUGACACUGACGCUCAUGCACGAAAGCGUGGGGAGCAAACAGG